GCCUAAGAGGACACGGGGGGCCUGGCAGGCAACAGGGCCCUGGCCAUCAGCUCCAACAGGGCGCCCGCUCAUGCACAGACCAGCUACAGUGCCCCAGAGAGAACCCCGGGGUGGGCAGGACCGGGCGCUCCCAGACAGGCACUCACACAGUGCUCUAUCUCAGCCCAAGCCCCCUUCCCUGAACCUCAGAGCCUGAACUCCUCGGAAAGGUGUCUUCCACGGUUCGGCACUAAGGGGAAACAGCCACGUUGCCCCUUAAGAUCAGUGAAACUGCUCACACUCUUCAAACCAGAACUUCAGAGCACUCACUCUGCCAGACCCGAGCUGCCCUCCGACGACAGAUAUUAAAACAGUAGAGGCGAAGCCCUUCGGAGCACACAGAGACAGAGAGGUGACGCGCGGUCCGGCCUUCGGGAUGAACUUCCAGGGUGAGAAGCAGCCACGGAGCCUGAGACCCCAGGGGGUGCGCUGAAUGGGCCCAUUCAUGCCUCAAUCCGAAGAAGCCUCUGAAACUGCUUGCUGUGACAUCUACUGAAAUUCCCUUCCAGGCCCUUGCAGACUGUCUCUACACACCCUUCUGUCUACCUACUCAGACUUCGGGCCAGGGACCGAGUUCUUAACUUGAGUCCAGUUUAGGUGGCUGGCACAAUGUACAUGUCCAACAGCCACUCACCGUGACUCGCAUCUCUGGGAAAAGACACCUGUGGAUAUUACCAAUCAUCUCAAAAGGUUCAAGCUCCAUUUAAAACAAAGAUACAGCAUUUUAGAAGAAGAUGUCAAGGAAGGGCAGUGCAGCUUUAGGUGGGCCUUG
rnacentral:lncRNA from 1 species